UUCGUGUGGGUUGGCGCCGAGCAAGAGGCGGCUAUGGUCCGCUUGCGAUCGGCGCUUGCAGGCGUUCGAGUCGCCGAUGUGAUG
rnacentral:tRNA from 1 species